UACGUAGGGGGCUAGCGUUGUCCGGAAUCACUGGGCGUAAAGCGCACGUAGGCGGCUUUCUAAGUCAGGGGUGAAAUCCUGGAGCUCAACUCCAGAACUGCCUUUGAUACUGGAGAGCUUGAGUUCGGGAGAGGUGAGUGGAACUGCGAGUGUAGAGGUGAAAUUCGUAGAUAUUCGCAAGAACACCAGUGGCGAAGGCGGCUCACUGGCCCGAUACUGACGCUGAGGUGCGAAAGCGUGGGGAGCAAACAGG
rnacentral:rRNA from 1 species